rnacentral:rRNA from 1 species
GAUGAACGCUGGCGGCGUGCCUAAUACAUGCAAGUCGAGCGAACGGACGAGAAGCUUGCUUCUCUGAUGUUAGCGGCGGACGGGUGAGUAACACGUGGAUAACCUACCUAUAAGACUGGGAUAACUUCGGGAAACCGGAGCUAAUACCGGAUGAUAUUUUGAACCGCAUGGUUCAAAAGUGAAAGACGGUCCUGCUGUCACUUAUAGAUGGAUCCGCGCUGCAUUAGCUAGUUGGUAAGGUAACGGCUUACCAAGGCAACGAUGCAUAGCCGACCUGAGAGGGUGAUCGGCCACACUGGAACUGAGACACGGUCCAUACUCCUACGGGAGGCAGCAGUAGGGAAUCUUCCGCAAUGGGCGAAAGCCUGACGGAGCAACGCCGCGUGAGUGAUGAAGGUCUUCGGAUCGUAAAACUCUGUUAUUAGGGAAGAACAUAUGUGUAAGUAACUGUGCACAUCUUGACGGUACCUAAUCAGAAAGCCACGGCUAACUACGUG